UACGUAGGUGGCAAGCGUUGUCCGGAAUUAUUGGGCGUAAAGCGCGCGCAGGCGGUCCCUUAAGUCUGAUGUGAAAUCCCACGGCUCAACCGUGGAAGGUCAUUGGAAACUGGGGGACUUGAGUACAGAAGAGGAAAGCGGAAUUCCAAGUGUAGCGGUGAAAUGCGUAGAGAUUUGGAGGAACACCAGUGGCGAAGGCGGCUUUCUGGUCUGUAACUGACGCUGAGGCGCGAAAGCCAGGGGAGCAAACGGG
rnacentral:rRNA from 1 species